AUUGAAUGCUAGCGGGAUGCUUUACACAUGCAAGUCGAACGGAGUGGCGGACGGGUGAGUAAUAUAUCGGAACGUGCCUAGUAGCGGGGGAUAACUACUCGAAAGAGUGGCUAAUACCGAUUACCAUUAGAACGGCCGAUAUCGUAUUCGCUGGUUGGUGGGGUAAAGGCUCACCAAGGCCACGAGCUGUAGCUGGUUUGAGAGGACGACCAGCCACACUGGGACUGAGACACGGCCAAGAUGCCUACGGGAGGGAGCAGUGGUGAAUUUUGGACAAUGGGGGAAACCCUGAUCCAGCCAUCCCGCGUGUAUGAUGAAGGCCGUCGGGUUGUAAAGUACUUUUGGCGGAGAAGCGGUAUCUGCAGAAUAAGCACCGGCUAACUACGUGCCAGCAGCCGCGGUAAUUC
rnacentral:rRNA from 1 species